UACGUAGGGGGCAAGCGUUGUCCGGAUUUAUUGGGCGUAAAGAGCGUGUAGGCGGCUUUGCAAGUCCGUUGUGAAAUCUCGAGGCUCAACUUCGAGCUGUCGGUGGAAACUAUCUGGCUAGAGUCCGGAAGAGGAGAAUGGAAUUCCUGGUGUAGCGGUGAAAUGCGCAGAUAUCAGGAAGAACACCCGUGGCGAAGGCGGUUCUCUGGGACGGUACUGACGCUGAGACGCGAAAGCGUGGGGAGCGAACAGG
rnacentral:rRNA from 1 species